UUUUCCAGCAAUUUCUGAUUGUGUCCAGAUUUGAUGAUCUUGUAGAAUGAGCAGCUGAAACACUCUUGCUCAUCUUUAUUGGAAAUGAGAUGGUUUGUUUGUAUGAACUAUGUAAUCAUUUUGAAGCUACCAUUACUGAAGCAACAGUUGCGAACUAUGAACCUGCGCUCCAAGGUCCCUCUCUGUUCAGCAACACUCCCCAGGACUUUACUGUUCUCCAGGAAUGGCACAACUCUCCUGAUGAAGUGGACAUGAGAUAAGCACAACCAAAACCAACAUGACUGACUCUAUAGGAUGAAGUGAAUGCUUCUGUUAUUAAAGGAGAUGUGUAACAUCAUAUCUCUGUAGUAAUUAUGGUCUCUAACUCUAUCAAGUAUUAAGUUAUGAACACAAGCACUGUAAUUUUGUUUAAACUGUACAUGUUGGUACCUUGCUGUGGCUACUUGAAAAAGAUGCCCUUGAAAAUUGCAAUAGAUGCAGCAACUCAUUUAUUAAAAGAGCCACAACGGCUGGUCCCAUGUUACAUGAUCUUCAAGUUAAUCCAAAUGUAUCUUUUGCUACUUGUGCAAUGCUGGUAAAGGAACAAGUGUUCCUAACUUAUACUAUUACGAUGAAAAUAUUUCCAUUAGGAACUAAAUACUGUAUUGCUCAAAACUGAUUUGAAUUAUUGUGAAGAUUUAUAGUGCAUGUGAAUAAUGCAUAGAAAAUAAAUCUCGUGUAUGCCA